AGAGUUUGAUCCUGGCUCAGGAUGAACGCUAGCGGCAGGCUUAACACAUGCAAGUCGAGGGGUAACGGGGAAGCUUGCUUCCGCCGACGACCGGCGCACGGGUGCGUAACGCGUAUACAAUCUACCUUGUACUGGGGUAUAGCCUUUAGAAAUGAAGAUUAACCCCCCAUAGUCUCUUAGAGUGGCAUCACUUCUAGAGUAAAGGUUACGGUAUAAGAUGAGUAUGCGUUCUAUUAGUUUGUUGGUGUGGUAACGGCACACCAAGACUACGAUAGAUAGGGGCCCUGAGAGGGGGAUCCCCCACACUGGUACUGAGACACGGACCAGACUCCUACGGGAGGCAGCAGUGAGGAAUAUUGGACAAUGGAGGCAACUCUGAUCCAGCCAUGCCGCGUGCAGGAAGACUGCCCUAUGGGUUGUAAACUGCUUUUAUACAGGAAGAAACACCUCUACGUGUAGAGGCUUGACGGUACUGUAAGAAUAAGGAUCGGCUAACUCCGUGCCAGCAGCCGCGGUAAUACGGAGGAUCCAAGCGUUAUCCGGAAUCAUUGGGUUUAAAGGGUCCGUAGGUGGAUAAUUAAGUCAGAGGUGAAAUCUUGCAGCUCAACUGUAAAAUUGCCUUUGAAACUGGUUAUCUUGAGUUAUUAUGAAGUAGUUAGAAUAUGUAGUGUAGCGGUGAAAUGCAUAGAUAUUACAUAGAAUACCAAUUGCGAAGGCAGAUUACUAAUAAUCAACUGACACUGAUGGACGAAAGCGUGGGUAGCGAACAGGAUUAGAUACCCUGGUAGUCCACGCCGUAAACGAUGGUUACUAGCUGUUUGGACUUCGGUCUGAGUGGCUAAGCGAAAGUGAUAAGUAACCCACCUGGGGAGUACGUUCGCAAGAAUGAAACUCAAAGGAAUUGACGGGGGCCCGCACAAGCGGUGGAGCAUGUGGUUUAAUUCGAUGAUACGCGAGGAACCUUACCAGGGCUUAAAUGUAAGUUGCAUUAGUUAGAGAUAGCUAUUUCUUCGGACCACUUACAAGGUGCUGCAUGGUUGUCGUCAGCUCGUGCCGUGAGGUGUCAGGUUAAGUCCUAUAACGAGCGCAACCCCUGUUGUUAGUUGCCAGCGAGUCAUGUCGGGAACUCUAGCAAGACUGCCAGUGCAAACUGUGAGGAAGGUGGGGAUGACGUCAAAUCAUCACGGCCCUUACGUCCUGGGCUACACACGUGCUACAAUGGUAGGUACAGAGAGCAGCCACUGCGCGAGCAGGAGCGAAUCUACAAAACCUAUCACAGUUCGGAUCGGAGUCUGCAACUCGACUCCGUGAAGCUGGAAUCGCUAGUAAUCGGAUAUCAGCCAUGAUCCGGUGAAUACGUUCCCGGGCCUUGUACACACCGCCCGUCAAGCCAUGGAAGUUGGAAGUGCCUGAAGUCCGUCACCGUAAGGAGCGGCCUAGGGUAAAGUCGAUAACUAGGGCUAAGUCGUAACAAGGUA
rnacentral:rRNA from 1 species